rnacentral:rRNA from 1 species
UACGGAGGGUGCAAGCGUUAAUCGGAAUUACUGGGCGUAAAGCGUACGCAGGCGGAUUGUUAAGCCAGACGUGAAAUCCCCGGGCUUAACCUGGGAACUGCAUCUUGUACUGGCAAGCUAGAGUGUGGUAGAGGGGGGUAGAAUUCCACGUGUAGCGGUGAAAUGCGUAGAGAUCUGGAGGAAUACCGAUGGCGAAGGCAGCCCCCUGGAAGAACACUGACGCUCAGGUUCGAAAGCGUGGGUAGCAAACAGG